rnacentral:rRNA from 1 species
UACGUAGGGUGCAAGCGUUAAUCGGAAUUACUGGGCGUAAAGCGUGCGCAGGCGGCUUUGCAAGACAGAUGUGAAAUCCCGGGCUCAACCUGGGAACUGCAUUUGUGACUGCAAAGCUAGAGUACGGUAGAGGGGAUGGAAUUCCGCGUGUAGCAGUGAAAUGCGUAGAUAUGCGGAGGAACACCGAUGGCGAAGGCAAUCCCUGGACCUGUACUGACGCUCAUGCACGAAAGCGUGGGAGCAA